AUGGCUUCGCCUAUUUUGUAUCUUAUACUCUCUUUAGCCUUUUCUUUCCCACUUUCAUCUUCAACACUAGAUGCUAUGAGUAAAGGCACGUCCCUUUCCAUAGAGAAACCAAAAGUUUUGAUAUCACCAAAUGGUGUUUUCUCUGCUGGCUUUUACUCUGUGGGUGAUCAUGCUUUUUGCUUUGCCAUUUGGUUUAGCAACUCACGCACCGUAGUUUGGAUGGCAAACCGUGACCAACAUGUAAAUGGAAAGCACUCAAAGCUCUCCCUCCAAAAAAAUGGCAAUAUACUUUUAACUGAUGCUGGAAAGUUUACUAUUUGGGCCACAAACACUAUCUCACUCUCCUCAGUACAAUUAUCUCUCUACAACUCUGGUAAUCUUGUUUUACGUAAUUUGGAAGGUGUUAUUUUGUGGGAAAGUUUUGACUUCCCUACAGAUACCCUUCUUCCUCAACAACCACUCACUAGAAACACAAAGCUUGUCUCCUCAAAAGGCCACACCAACUAUUCCUCUGGUUUCUAUGAGCUUUUCUAUGAUAACGAUAACCUUCUUCGCCUUCUUUUCAAUGGUCCUGAUGUUUCCAGUAUUUACUGGCCUGACCCAUGGGUUGUUAGUUGGGAGGCAGGAAGAACCUCGUAUAACAAUAGUAGAAUUGCUGUCCUAAAUUCCUUGGGGAACUUUAGUUCAUCCGAUGAUUUUAAUUUUAUGUCAAAUGACCAUGGAGCAAUGCUUCAUAGAAGAUUGACACUUGGUUACGAUGGAAAUAUUCAAUUGUAUAGUUGGGAAGAGGAGAGGCAAACUUGGGUUGUUUCAUGGCAAGCCAUUCAAAAACCUUGCACAAUUCAUGGUGCUUGUGGGGUAAACAGUUUGUGUAGUUAUGUUAUUGGUUCUAGUAGGAAAUGUUCUUGUCUUCCGGGAUACAAGAUGAAAAAUAGUACUGAUUGGAGUUAUGGGUGUGAACCAGAAUUUGAUAUCUCUUGCAACAAAAAUGAGUCUGACUUUUUGCUGCUAUCCCACGUUGAAUUCUACGAGUAUGAUUUUGGGUUCUUUCCCAAUUACACGUUUGAUCAAUGUACGAAUGUAUGCUUGCAAGCAUGCGACUGCAGAGCAUUCCAAUACACCUUUCGCGGGGAUACUGGCUCUUGGAAUUGUUACCCUAAAACAUUAUUGUUGAAUGGAUAUCAUUCUUCAGAUUUCAUAGGAGACAUCUAUUUGAGACUGCCAAAAAGCAAAUACGAUUCAUACGUCAAUCAUGUAGAAAAAUUCAGUUUAGUUUGCUCAAAUGAAGGUAUGAUAGAGUCGGCUAGAAAGUAUGUAAAAAGCCGUGUAAAUGGGACAGUGAAAUUCAUGCUCUGGUUUGCCUGUGGAGUGGGAGGACUUGAAGUUAUAUGUAUCUUUGUGGUGUGGUGUCUUUUGAUCAGAACCUGAAAAAGUUCAGCUGCAGACAAGCAAGGCUAUGUUAUUGCUGCCACGGGAUUCAAAAAAUUUACCUAUACUGAGCUAAAAAAGGCUACAAAGGGUUUUAUUGAAGAGACUGGAAGAGGUGCAUGGGGAGUUGUACACAAAGGAGUAUUGUCUGAUAAGCAAGUUGCAGCAAUCAAGGGUCUCAAUGAAGCCAACCAAGGAGAAAGUGAAUUUUUAGCCGAAGUAAGCAUCAAAACCUCUCGGCCGGCACCGCCUCAGCUGUCAUAGCUAGAGACUCUGAUGGUAAGGUUAUGAAGGUUUGGGUUAAAUUGCAUGAAAAGUGCUCUCCUCUCCAAGCUGAAGCUACUGCACUCUUAUGGGCGGUUCAGAUUGCUGCUAGCAAUUGGGAAGAAGAGAGGCAAACUUGGGUUGUCUCUUGGCAAGCCAUUCAGACACGUUGCAAUAUUCAUUGUGCUUGUGGGGCCAACAGUUUGUGCAGUUAUGCUGUUAGUUCUGGCAGGAAAUGUUCUUGUCUUCCAGGGUACAAAAUGAAAAAUCGUACUGAUUGGGCUUAUGGGUGUGAACCCGAAUUUGAUCUCUCUUGUGACAAAAAUGAGUUUGGCUUUAUGUUGCUAUCCCAUGUUGAAUUUUACGGUUAUGAUUAUGGGUUUCAUCCCAAUUACACACCUUUGAUCAAUGUUGGGAUUUAUGUUUGCAAUUGCGCGAUUGCAAAGCAUUCCAAUACUCCUUUAAGAAGGAUACUGUUUGUAUAUAGAACAAAUGUGGAACGCUAUGAAAAUGGGACAAUAAAAUUUAUGCUUUGGUUUGCCAGUGGAGUGGCUGGACUCGAAGUCAUAUGUAUCUUUGUGGUGUGGUGUCUCUUGAACGAAACCCGAAAAAUAUCAGGUGCAGACAAGCAAGGCUAUGCACUUUGUGCCAACAGAUUCAAAAAUUUUACUCAUGCUGAACUAAAAAAGGCCACUAAGAGUUUUACUGAGGAAAUUGGAAGAGCUGUAGGGGGAAUUUUCUACAAAGGGGUACUAAAUGACAAUCGAGUUGCUAUAAUCAAGUGUCUCAAUGAAGCCAACCAAGAAGAAGAUGAAUUUCUAGCUGAAGUAAGCAUCGUUGGAAGGAUUAACUACAUGAACUUAAUAGAGAUGUGGGGGUAUUGUGCAAAAGGAAAGCACAGACUUUUGGUCUUGGAGUACAUGGAGCAUGGUUCUUUAGCAGAUAACCUCUCAGUCUCAGCCACUGCUCUUGACUGGGAGAAAAUGUUCAAAAUUGCGGUGGGCACUGCAAAAGGCCUAGCAACUAAAUGAGGACUGCUUGGAUUGGAUUUUUCAUUGCAAUGUAAAGCCUCAAAACAUACUUCUAAACUCAAAUUAUCAACCAAAGAUGGCAGAUUUUGGCCUGUCAAAGUUACAAAACAGAAGUGCCCUUAAGAGUUCAAGCUUCUCAAGGAUAAGAGGAACCCAAGGUUAUAUGAUUUCAGAGUGGGUUUGCAAUCUCCCCAUCACCUCGAAAGUUGAUGUUUAUAGUUAUGGAAUUGUUGUAUUGGAAAUGAUAACCGGAAAGGGCCCAUCAAGUAGUAUCCAUGCAAUACAUGAUGGUGUGGAGGCAAAGCACAGGCUGCAAAUACUUCCUCACUUGAAGAGAUCAUUGAUCCAAUGUUGGAAGGUAAAUAUGACAUGGGCAAGAUGGAAACUUUGGUUUGGGUUUCUCUACAAUGUGUAAAAGAAGACAAAGAUGAAAGACCUACCAUGAGCCAAGUGGUUGAGAUGCUUUUAAGCCAUGAAAAGAUUCAAUGA